CUGUGCCUACUUAAAACAUAUUAUAAGUGCUGUUGAAAUGCCUUAGACCUGAACCUUUAAUUCUAUUUUUUUUCCACCAAUACUGCCUAAUCUGAUGUUUGAUCUACUUAUAUUUCAGAUUUCUAGAAGAACAUCAGUUAUCGAGGAAGAAUUAGGCCAUUCAGCCCAUCAAGCCUGCUCCACUAUUCAAUCAUGGCUGAGUUAUUUUAACCCCAUUCUCUCAUCUUCUCCCUGUAGCUGUCAAUCUUUUUACCAAUCAAUCUUUGCCUUAAGUGUGCCCAGUGACUUGGCCUUCAGAGAUCUCUGGGCAACAAAUUCCACAGAUUUACCACCCUCCAGCUGAAAGAAAUCCACUUUGGUUUUGAAGGUCUAUCCUCUUAUUCUGUGCCCUUCUGACCAAUGCAUGAUAAAACUUCAGUAGUAUGUGCUUGCUUUUAGUCUUCUAGAAGUGCAUGCUAACAUUGGCCUUCUUACUAUCAACUCAACCUGCGAGUCAAAGGCCUUUUGAAAAUCCAAGUGAAUUCACUCUAGCCUUUGAGGAAACAGUAAAAUGCUGCAGAUAGCAGAAACACUCAACAGGUCAGAGAGGAUCUGUGGCAGGAAAAACAAAGUAAACAUUUGAGAUUCAUAAGUGUCCAAAAUCAAGUCCUCACUGUACAUAACACAGGAAGUUUCUUUUGGUGGCAUGUGGCAUGUUCUUCAGGACAUUUGGAGCAGAAACUAGGGCUCCUUGGUAAAUCAGGUAGGACUACAUUGAGCACCAUCAGAAACCCAGAAAAGACAAAGGUGAGUCUUUUCUUCAGAAUCGACAGUCAGCCCAUGGUACUUCCCUUUCUUCUUUUGUCCUCUCCUCUCCUCAAAAAAUGAACCAAUGGAACAUCCCACUCACUUCCUUACACGACAAACCAAACUUCCUUCAAACCUUCCCUUUGACACAAGUCCUCAAGUCUCAAGCUAAGUUUUAUUCCUAUUCCCACUGAAGUUCCAUUCUAUAAAGGACAUAUUUUGCAUUCAUGACCUCACUCACAGUGCUGGUCUUAUGUUUUAGCUGGUCAUGGCCCUUGCAUUUUAUUUCACGACCUACACUGAACUUUCUCUGUAACCACAACACUAUAGUACAUCGAACAUACUGUGGAACACUACAGCACAGUACACUUUAUCCCAUGAUGAUUUGCAAACCCUUUAACCUACUCUAAAAUCAGUCUAACCUCAAAGAAUUUCUGCUCUGAGAAAAAGUCUCUAGUUAUCCACUCAAUCUAUGCCUUUUAUCAUCUUGUACACCACAAGUCAGCUCUAUACUCGCUUCACUAACUAUAUUCUGCUUUUCAUUGUAUAUUUUUAUUUUAUACCGUUUCAGUGUACUUACCUUUGGAAUGAUCUGUCUGGGUGGCAUGGAAACAAAAGCUUUUUGCUGAUCUUAUACAUGUCAAAACAAUAAUCGAAUUACAAAUUACAACCAGUCCUGUCUUCAUGCUGCCUUCUAUCUCCAGACAGAUAAUGCCAAAGGUCAGGAUUGAACCAGGUUCACUGGAGCUGUGGGGCAUCAGCUCUCUCCACUGUAUCAUGGUGCCAUAUUUAUCUCUUCAAGUACAGUUAAAUUAUUGUCUUCUCUCUGUGUUGCAGUGUAGUUUGGAGAAGCUACUUGAUGCUGAAUAGAGUAAAUGUGGACCUCCUAUGUUUUGCUGCAAUUGUUCCCAACUUCACACUACAGUCAGAACAAUGAUGGAAGGGAGGUCAUUAAUGAAGAUAGCUCAGCACAGGGCACUGCCCUGGGGUACUCUCUCCAUAGUGGCCUGAGACUGGGAUGAUUGACAACCAUAAUCAUUUUCUUUUAUGGCAGAUAAUGAAGGCAGAAGGUCAAAGAGUGAAGGAGAAGUUUAAAGACCCCUUUUCACUCAAGAAAUGGCUACAAGCACAACGUAGCUUUUGGGAACUUCAGCCCACAAAACAGGGUGAGCAGGGUCAUUUGUUCACUGGGAGAUGAAGGGAGAAGAUGCUGGAGAGAAGAGGUCGUAGGACUCAACCCAGAGUGGGGCCAUGAUUCGACGAAGCCUGGGGAGAUCGAAGAAGGAUCAGUGAAGCGGAAACCAUGAGCUCCAACUUGUGCACAUUAGACUGUCUCAUUAAAAUUAGCCCUUUUUUUUACUUUUUCUAU